UACGGGGGGGCAAGCGUUGUUCGGAAUUACUGGGCGUAAAGGGCUCGUAGGCGGCCAACUAAGUCGGACGUGAAAUCCCUCGGCUUAACCGGGGAACUGCGUCCGAUACUGGAUGGCUUGAGUUUGGGAGAGGGAUGCGGAAUUCCAGGUGUAGCGGUGAAAUUCGUAGAUAUUGGGAAGAACACCGGUGGCGAAGGCGGCGAGCUGGUCCAUUACUGACGCUGAGGCGCGACAGCGUGGGGAGCAAACAGG
rnacentral:rRNA from 1 species